UACGUAGGGUGCAAGCGUUAAUCGGAAUUACUGGGCGUAAAGCGUGCGCAGGCGGUUGUGCAAGACAGAUGUGAAACCCCCGGGCUCAACCUGGGAAUUGCAUUUGUGACUGCACGGCUAGAGUGUGUCAGAGGGGGGUAGAAUUCCACGUGUAGCAGUGAAAUGCGUAGAGAUGUGGAGGAAUACCGAUGGCGAAGGCAGCCCCCUGGGAUAACACUGACGCUCAUGCACGAAAGCGUGGGGAGCAAACAGG
rnacentral:rRNA from 1 species